rnacentral:pre_miRNA from 1 species
CAUAUACUCCCUCCGUUCCAAAUUACUCGUCGCAGAAAUGGAUGUAUCUAGAACUAAAAUACAUCUAGAUACAUCCAUACCUGGAACAAGUAAUUUGGAACGGAGGGAGUACUUG